GACGAACGCUGGAGGCGUGCUUAACACAUGCAAGUCGAACGAUGAAAUGGAGCUUGCUCCAUGGAUUAGUGGCGAACGGGUGAGUAACACGUGAAUAACCUGCCCUUAAUUUUGGAAUAACCCAGGGAAACCUGGGCUAAUACCGGAUAAGUAAACCUGUGGCAUCACAUGGUUUUGGAAAGUUUUUCGAUUAAGGAUGGAUUCGCGGCCUAUCAGCUUGUUGGUGAGGUGAUGGCUCACCAAGGCGACGACGGGUAGCCGGCCUGAGAGGGUGAACGGCCACACUGGGACUGAGACACGGCCCAGACUCCUACGGGAGGCAGCAGUGGGGAAUACUGCGCAAUGAACGAAAGUCUGACGCAGCGACGCCUCGUGAGGGACGAAGGUCUUCGGAUUGUAAACCUCUUUCAGCAGGGACGAAGCGAAAGUGACGGUACCUGCAGAAGAAGCACCGGCUAACUACGUGCCAGCAGCCGCCGUAA
rnacentral:rRNA from 1 species